UACGGGGGGGGCAAGCGUUGUUCGGAAUUACUGGGCGUAAAGGGCCAGUAGGCGGCCAACUAAGUCCGACGUGAAAUCCCCAGGCUUAACCUGGGAACUGCGUCGGAUACUGGAUGGCUUGAAUUCGGGAGAGGGAUGCAGAAUUCCCGGUGUAGUGGUGAAAUGCGUAGAUAUCGGGAGGAACACCAGUGGCGAAGGCGACUACCUGGCCUGUUCUUGACGCUGAGGCGCGAAAGCUAGGGGAGCAAACGGG
rnacentral:rRNA from 1 species